UUAGGGAUUUUCGGCAAUGGACGCAAGUCUGACCGAGCGACGCCGCGUGCAGGAUGAAGCCUUUCGGGGUGUAAACUGCUUUUAUCGGGGAAGAUGAUGACGGUACCCGGUGAAUAAGCAUCGGCUAACUACGUGCCAGCAGCCGCGGUAAUACGUAGGAUGCAAGCGUUAUCCAGAAUCACUGGGCGUAAAGCGCGCGCAGGCGGUUUGUUACGUUGGUUGUGAAAGCCCCCGGCUCAACUGGGGAGGGUCGACCAAAACGGACAGACUGGAGGGCAGCAGAGGCGAGUGGAAUUCCGGGUGUAGUGGUGAAAUGCGUAGAUAUCCGGAGGAACACCGAAGGCGAAGGCAACUCGCUGGGCUGUACCUGACGCUGAGGCGCGAAGGCUGGGGGAGCGAACAG
rnacentral:rRNA from 1 species